CCUUCUCGUUAGGGGUGUCUGUUGCAAAAAGCAGGCUGAGAUUAUACCCUGAAACCUGAUAUGUAUAAUGACAGCGGAGGGAAACGAAGAGUGCAUUUG
rnacentral:ncRNA from 1 species